AAACAACAACAUAAGCCCUCUCUCGAAAUAGGCUUUCGCCCCACUUUAUAUAUAAAGCAACAGCCAAACAGAAUACACGGUCAAACGAUACAAGAAGAUGAGGUGACCCUCAUACAAUGUCGAUCCUAGGAGAACCGGAUCACGCAGGACGCACGCGGCUACACUACCGAACAAGAGUACACCGCAAACUGAGUACACCACCACGCUAUGCCCUAUACCACCUAAGUUCCACGACAACACCCCCCAGGAGGGAGAACAGCGCUAGGCUUCGCCGUUGCCGAGUCCACAACAGACAAAGAUUUUCACCCGGAACCCGGACACGAAGAGGAGCACCACGACAACAUCUUCAAGAAGAUUGCGGCGCCCUCGCCGGCGCCAAAGCGCGGAGUUUUUGCUUGGCAACUCCACCUCGUCACCAUAAGGUCUUGAGGGAAAGCACGACAAUCACAAAACUCCAUGUCCGGAUCGGGGCAUCGCCACCACCAGAGACAAAGCGCGCCCAAGCCACCCACUGCACCACCUCUCGCCGCCCACACGGCCAAGAAGAACGCCAUCACCGCCCAUAGCAGUUUCCUUGUUCUAUUACUAUUUUACUAUAUUGAUUAUUUGAAGCACCUGAUAAUAACCUUGCCAUCUUUGUCUUGAUAUAUGCAGACUUUCAGUGAAGGUGUCAUCAGCUAGCACAUGCGUGCUUCCUGAAAUUUGUGAGUCCAUCCCGUUUCCUCCACCCCACGAUAAAAAGUGUGAAAUGAGUUGGUGCAGACCUUUCUCCAACUCACAGGGAACGAAAGUGCAUUCUGCAGUAAAGGGGUGUGCGAGUGCAGGUUCUGCUCACGUUAAGGAGGUCUUAACGUUAGCAGAACCUACACUCGCACGCCCCUUUACUGGAGAGUACAUCUCUAGUUCCCUGUGAGUUGCAGAAAGAUCUGCAUCAACUCAUGUCGCACUUUCUACCGUGGGGUGGAGUAACCGGGAUGGACUCACAAAGUUCAGGAAACACGCGUGCCCUAGCUGAUUACACCUUCAUCGAAAAGACUGGAUAUCUCAACACAAUGAUGACAGGUUAUUAUCGGUCCUUCAAACAAUCAAUAUAGUAAAAUAGUGCUAGAACAAGGAAACUGCAGAGGCUAGGCAGUAGGCAGCGCAUUUUUGCAAUACAAACCCAACCAUUGCGUAGACCGGGCAUCGCCUCUCAGCCUCAGGGCAUCCAUUUUCGAAUCGAACAAGAUGAAAAUAAGCUCUAAUAUCUGCAACCAGAAUAUAGCAUAGUCAACUGUAAAAUGGCCCAAAUACCUGACGAACAAAUUGGUCUUGAUGAAAAAAAUAACUGUAAAAUGGCCCAAAUACCUGACAAACAAAUACCAGGACGACGAUUGUUAACAUGAGCAUCGAUGUCUUCAUGAUCCUCAAUGGAAGAGAGGGAGCAGCGGCGUCCCUGAGUGCAAGCGCCGGCGAGGAUGCCUAGUGGGAGGAGAGGAUGCGCCUGUGCCUUCCGAACGAAAGAAGCUGCUGUAUUUAUCUAUGCCCGG
rnacentral:lncRNA from 1 species